UACGUAGGGUGCAAGCGUUGUCCGGAAUUAUUGGGCGUAAAGAGCUCGUAGGCGGUUUGUCGCGUCGGCUGUGAAAACUCGGGGCUCAACCCCGAGCCUGCAGUCGAUACGGGGCAGACUAGAGUGCUGUAGGGGGAGACUGGAAUUCCUGGUGUAGCGGUGAAAUGCGCAGAUAUCAGGAGGAACACCGGUGGCGAAGGCGGCUUCCUGGACAGUUACUGACGCUGAGACGCGAAAGCGUGGGGAGCAAACAGG
rnacentral:rRNA from 1 species